rnacentral:misc_RNA from 1 species
UUCAUUGAGUUUGUUUCUCGUGCAGCAGCGGAGAGGAUCUUGCAGACAUACAAUGGUGCAUUAAUGCCAAAUACUGAUCAGAAUUUCAGGCUAAAUUGGGCUACUCUUGCAGCUGGUGAGAGACGUCAAGAUGAUGGCCCUGAUUAUACAAUUUUUGUUGGAGAUUUGGCUGCUGAUGUCAAUGAUUACCUGUUGCAAGAAACAUUUAGAGCUGUUUACCAAUCUGUGAAAGGUGCAAAAGUUGUCACUGAUAGGAUCACUGGGCGCUCCAAGGGCUAUGGGUUUGUGAGGUUUGAUGAUGAAAAUGAGCAAAGACGUGCCAUGGUUGAAAUGAAUGGACAGUACUGUUCUACUAGGCCCAUGCGGGUUGGGUCAGCUGCUACAAAAAGGCCUGCAGUGCAGCAAUUUCAGAAUGCUUCCUUUCAGAAUACUCAAGGAAACCAGGGAGAGAAUGAUCCAAAUAAUACAACUAUAUU